GAUUUCCUUAGUAACGGCGAGCGAAAAGGAAAUUGUCCAGCGCCAAGUCUUGACAUUUAGGUGUUCAAGAGAUGCGGCGUUAAUGUAUUGGCGCAUCGUGCAUUGUUUCAUGUUUCAAGUUCCUUUGACAGGGACAUCCAGAGCGGGUGCUAGGCCCAUAGAGACAAGAAACUGAUGUAUGCUGGCUAAUGCAUUCUAGAGUCAGGUUGCUUGAGAGUGCAGCUUAAAGUCGGUGGUAAACUCCAUCUAAGACUAAAUAUUACAGCGAGACCGAUAGCAAACAAGUACCGUGAGGGAAAGUUGCAAAGCACUUUGAAGAGAGAGUUCAAUAGUACGUGAAACCACUGGGAGGCAAACAGAUGGAACCACGAAGUUUGCGCCUUGUUCGAUUCAAUCAUUUAUGUUGAUUAUCUGUACUUAAAAAGGGUCUUUUCGAAGGCUGUUUAAGURAAGAUGAGAUUGGCAUAAAUGGUGCAUUUCGAUGCAGGGAUGCUAAGCCACGUUCAAUUAGAGUUGGGACGGCCGUAGGAAAGAAUUCGGAAAAGGUGGCUGUUAUAUGCUUGCGUAUAACAGUGUUAUAGUUCUGAAUUGGCACCGUCGCCUAACAUGCUGAUUGAUAAAAUUUCUCCAAUGGAGUAGAACUAAAUCUGCCUGUGGCUGAUAGGCUGCAUUUCGAGGUAUUCUUUGCUUAUCCUUGGAUUUGUAAAGAUAUUUCAACAGUGUAGUUUAUUGGUUGCUUGCGUGAUUUGGUGGAACUGUGGUGUGAGUAGGUCGGUGUCCAUCUGACCCGUCUUGAAACACGGACCAAGGAGCCUACCAUAUACGCAAGUCACACGGUCUUGAAUAGGCCAGUGAGGCGAAAUGAAAGUAAAGCUACGAAGUUUCGGCUGCAGUAGCGGCACGCCUACUCCGUAUAUUGGCGGUCGGGCGUAGCUGGAGCGUAUACGGUGGUACCCGAAAGAUGGUGAACUAUGCCUGGGCAAGACGAAGCCAGAGGAAACUCUGGUGGAGGUCUGUAGCGAUUCUGACGUGCAAAUCGAUCGUCAGACCUGGGUAUAGGGGCGAAAGACUAAUCGAACCAUCUAGUAGCUGGUUCCCUCCGAAGUUUCCCUCAGGAUAGCAGGCGUUUAGAAAAUCAGUCUCAUCCGGUAAAGCUAAUGAUUAGAGGUCUUGGGGUUGAAACGACCUCAACCUAUUCUCAAACUUUAAAUGGGUGAGAUGGUUGACUUUCUUGAUUGAAGCCAACCAAUUGGAUGUAAAUGCCUAGUGGGCCAUUUUUGGUAAGCAGAACUGGCGCUGUGGGAUGAACCAAACGUCGAGAUAAGGCAUCAAAUGCAUACGCUCAUGAGACCCCAUGAAAGGUGUUGGUUGCUAUAGACAGCAGGACGGUGGCCAUGGAAGUCGGAAUCC
rnacentral:rRNA from 1 species